UGGCACAGUGGUUGAGAACUUGGCUGCUAACCAAGAGUUGGUAGUUCAAAUCCACC
rnacentral:tRNA from 1 species